AGGGUGUAAAACGCUGCAGACUUGGUGUUGGAUGGCUCCGAGCUGCCCCAGUGCCGAAGGGAAGUCUGUUAAGUCCACCGCCUGGGAAGUACGGUCGCAAGACUGAAACUUAAAGGAACUUGGCGGGGGAGCACCACAACGCGUGGAGCCUGCGGUUUAAUUGGAUUCAACGCCGGACAUCUCACCAGGGGCGACACGCAGAAUGAUGGCCAGGUUGAUGACCUUGCUUGACAAUCUGAGAGGAGGUGCAUGGCGUGUGACUGU
rnacentral:rRNA from 1 species